rnacentral:sRNA from 1 species
UCAAAAAAAAUUUAAAAAAAAAAUGAGGUUCAUUCUUGUUACAAAAUUAGCUCAGUUGGCAGCACAAUCAAAAAAAUACUCUUGACCUAUUUCCCAGUUUGAUUCAAUUUCCGGUAGUGAACAGAAAUGACAUGGAUCUCAAAAAUCAAGACUUUUCCCCUCUCAAAUAAAAAUUAAUAUCUCACCUUCCACUUGUCAUACAAUGAUAAAUUUAAAAAAUUAAUUUUGUUCUAAACCAAGACAAAAGAUAAAGUAAAGUACCCAAAGCAAGAUGAUAUAGAGCAUGAGUGCAGUCUUGACCUGGGCAAUGUAAUAAAACAUGAGAAGAAAGAAAGUCUUAAUGAAAUAUGUUUGAUAAAACAGUCAUGUGAACUACAAGACAUGAAAUUGUCACAUGUAAAAAUUGAAAAGACUGAAGGAGAUGAAGAAACUUCUCCUAUGCAGCCAUUUGAAAACUACUGCCAUGGUUAAACUUAUAAUGAAAUCCCGGGACAUCAGGCAAAUGAUGUUCUUAAGCAGGAGAUAAAAAUGUCUUGUACUACUGAAAGUGAUGAACCAUUGUCCUUAGCAUCAAGACUACUGGCUAUGUCAAAGAAGGCAGACAGAAACUUUUAUCCAGUGCCCAUCAUUUUGCCAAACUUAAAACUGACUGGACACAUACCUCUCCUAGAACUGCCAUUGAGCGAGGUGAAAGA